UUUUUGGUUCUGGUUUUAUCCAAUUUAUUGCAUAUUUAGUAACAUAGAUGUUGUAGAUUGGUCACUUUAAGAUUUUUUUCUGGUCUUAACCGAUUUAUUUGUAUAGUUAGUAGUAUAGAUGUUAGUAACAGGCAAUUUUGCUCUAUCAGAAAAGAGAAAAAAGAAAAAGAGGCAAGCUUGAGCUUGUACAACUUUUAAACCCUUGAAUAAUACGAAUGCAAGGAUUGGCUCGAUCGGGUGCCUUUCGAGCCUUCUCUUUUGGGCGUGAUACUCACAGAAAGUAGUUGUUCUGGAGGAAUUCAUUUAUUGAUGGGAUUUCACACAUUUUUGCAGCUAGUCUCUCUCCUGAUUCUUUAUAAAACAACUUCCAUAAGAUGGGUAAAACUUAAGAAUGUCUGUUAUGAAUGACAUUAGCCGAAAGGAGAAGGAUUUCUCAUUCAAUGUCUGUAUUCCAUUCCCCUAUUGCAACGGAAGCUUUAUCAUUAAAUUGAUGUUGUUACUACUUGUACUCAAUGCGUUUUAAUGUUCUACCAUGUUCUGCAAUCAAUUUAGUACCAUUUUGGACCUGAUUAUGGCAAAUCAAGAGAAGUGCCCUUGUAUGUUCGGACACAUCAACAUUGCAUUGUCCUCUACUUCCAUUAUGCACAACCUCAUAGACUUGGUCCAUAGUCACAUACAAGAGCUGUUAUUCAAAGUGUCUGCCUUGGAAUCCCACGUACCUAUUGUGUUGAAAAUCUAUUUUCAAAGCUUCACUUUAUUACAUAUGCUGUCCAACCUUGAUGAUCAAUUGUUCUUUUACAAUCCUUAACAAGAUGAGAUUCAAUAGGUCCGUGCUUAAAGCGUGAGGCAAAGUAGGAGGUUGUCACUCUGUUGGCUUGAGGUGUUAUGCGAUGGGAAAAGCAAUAGAGAGGUGAGAGGUGUUGUGCAACGAGAGGUGUUAUUUUUUAAAUAGACUUAAAAACACACAUCUAGGGGGGGGGGUUGGUCAUUCUCAGACCCAUGUAUAGGCGCAAGUCACAAAAGCUAAGUUGUUUUGUUUAGGCACUUCCCUUUUCUUCUUCUUUGUUCUUUCUCCUCUGCUUUCCAACAACUUCUUUGUUUUUUCUCCUCUGUUUUCCAUAGUUUCUUUCUUCUUCAUUCUUCUCCUUCGUUUUUCGUCUCCUGUUUCUGGAUUUCUUCCUUCUCCAUGCAGACAGUUAUAGAUCUUGCAUUUUUUUGUUUCAAUUUUUGUGUACAAUUUAAGCAUAAUAACUUAGUUCUUUUUUUCUGUAAAUAUUUGCUAAUAUUGUUAUUGCUAUUGAGUUUUUCAUUAUUUAUAUAUGCAAAAUUAAUAUUUUUUUUGGUGUUAAUUGGCGCUUCACUUUAAAAAGUUGAGGGCUUCGCUACUCGCCUCAGUGAAGCACACUCUCGUUUUUUAUUGUUUCUUGCUUUCCAAAACAUUGGCAGGGAGAGAAAUUCAUUGCAACUGAUUAAUACAGGAUCAUGACAGAAAAUCGUGAUAGACAACCUUUUCUUGUUGCCAAUGGGGAUACAUGUUGUGGAUAUGUGAAGAUAUAUUUUAGCAAAAAGAGAGAGAUCAGAGUUCUUUCUUCCAUUGAACUCUAAGGUGUCAAGCUCCCUUAAACGAGUUGAAGAGAUCAAAGUUCUCUUUCAUUGAACUCUAAGAGCCUAACACAAUGGUUGAUGAGAUCAAUUCCAGAUUCUAGGAAGAACGUGCGAUAACAGAAACCCUUACUCUAAAAGUGCAGCAAUGGAACAACCUUUCGGUAAAAGAAUUGUCCAAGUCAUCCAAGAACAACUGUCUAACUUUGGAAUUGGCUCCACAGAACCAACAACCACACAGACCUGAGUCGAGUAACACCCUAACGACAGGCAAAUCAACAAUUCCUGCUACUAAAGGCAAUACAUCCCCUAUUUAGUAGGCCGUUCAGUAUCGUCCAACAAGUGGUAAUUCCCAUUCAACAGUACCAAG